rnacentral:rRNA from 1 species
AACGAACGCUGGCGGCAUGCCUAACACAUGCAAGUCGAACGGGACCUUCGGGUCUAGUGGCGCACGGGUGCGUAACGCGUGGGGAUCUGCCCUUAGGUACGGAAUAACUCAGGGAAACUUGAGCUAAUACCGUAUAAUGACUUCGGUCCAAAGAUUUAUCGCCUAGGGAUGAACCCGCGUAGGAUUAGCUUGUUGGUGAGGUAAAGGCUCACCAAGGCGACGAUCCUUAGCUGGUCUGAGAGGAUGAUCAGCCACACUGGGACUGAGACACGGCCCAGACUCCUACGGGAGGCAGCAGUGGGGAAUAUUGGACAAUGGGCGAAAGCCUGAUCCAGCAAUGCCGCGUGAGUGAUGAAGGCCUUAGGGUUGU